rnacentral:rRNA from 1 species
GACGAACGCUGGCGGCGUGAUUAACACAUGCAAGUCGAACGGAAAGGCCCUGCUUGCAGGGUACUCGAGUGGCGAACGGGUGAGUAACACGUGGGUGAUCUGCCCUGCACUUCGGGAUAAGCCUGGGAAACUGGGUCUAAUACCGGAUAGGAGACAUCUUUGGUGUUAUGGUUGGAAAGUUUUUUCGGUGUAGGAUGAGCUAGCGGCCUAUCAGCUUGUUGGUUGGGUUAUGGCCUACCAAGGCGGCGACUGGUAGCCGGCCUGAGAGGGUGGACGGUCACAUUGGGACUGAGAUACGGCCCAGACUCCUACGGGAGGCAGCAGUGGGGAAUAUUGCACAAUGGGCGCAAGCCUGAUGCAGCGACGCCGCGUGGGGGAUGACGGCCUUCGGGUUGUAAACUCCUUUCGCUAGGGACGAAGCUUUUGUGACGGUACCUAGAUAAGAAGCACCGGCUAACUACGUGCCAGCCGCCGCCGUAA